rnacentral:rRNA from 1 species
AUGGGCCGCCGCCAUGGAUGGCAGCUGCAUCCAUGGAGAGUGUCAACAUGUGGACGUGGAUGUAACACACCGGAUUCGAUGCGCCAGUUCCCGUUUCGUUGCGAUCGUGAGGAUUCGUUCGUCUACGCUUGGUUCGGCUUCAUCCAUUCGUCUUCUUCAUGGACUCGUUCUUCUUCCUUGCGGGAUUUCAGGCAAGAUGACCGCUACCCUAGAUCUCACUACUGUCAUUGCUAUGUUAGUUGCUUCGUUCUAUCGCUAUGCUGGGUUACCUAUCUUUUGCUCAUCAAGCCUCCCAAAUUGCCAUGA